rnacentral:rRNA from 1 species
CCUACGGGUGGCUGCAGUAGGGAAUCUUCCACAAUGGACGACAGUCUGAUGGAGCAACGCCGCGUGAGUGAAGACGGGUUUCGGCUUGUAAAGCUCUGUUGGUCGUGAAGCAAGAUACAGGUAGUAACUGGGCCUUCUUUGACGGUAAUUCCUUAGAAAGUCACGGCUAACUACGUGCGCGCAGCCACGGUAAUACGGAGGUGGGAAGAGUUGACCGGUUUUAUUGGGCGUAAAGCGAGUGCAGGCGGUUCAAUAAGGCCGAUGUGAAAGUCUUCGGCGCAACCGGAGAAUUGCAGCAGAAACUGGUGAACUUGAGUGCAGAAGAGGAGAGUGGAACGCCAGGUGUAGCGGUGGAAUGCGUAGAGAUAUGGAAGAACACCAGUGGCGAAGGCGGCUCUCUGGUCUGCAACUGACGCUGAGGCUCGAAAGCAUGGGGAGCGAACAGGAUUAGAUACCCUAGUAGUC